rfam:Pteropus alecto contig107207, whole genome shotgun sequence.
GAUUCCAUAGUGUAGCGGUUAGCACAUCCGCUUUACACGCAGAAGGUCCUCAGUUCACACCCCAGUGGAGCCA